rnacentral:rRNA from 1 species
GACGAACGCUGGCGGCGUGCUUAAUACAUGCAAGUCGAACGGAAAGGCCCUGCUUUUGCGGGGCUCUCGUGUGGCGAACGGGGGUGUAACACGUGAGUAUCCCGCCCUUGACUUUCGGAUAAAUUCACGAAAAUGGGGAUAAUACCCGAUAGGAGCUCCUGAUCCGCGUUGUGGAAUGGAUAGAUGCGGCUGUUGGAGAUGGACUCGCGGCUUAUGAGCUUGUUGGUGGGGUAGUGGUUUACCAAGUCUUUGACGGGUAGGCGGCCUGAGAGGGGGAACGGCGACAAUGGUACUGAGAGACGGACCAGACGCCUACGGGAGGCAGCGGUGGGGAAUAUUGCACAAUGGGCGGACGCCAGAUGCAGCGACGUCGGGAGCGGGAUGACGGCCUUCGAGGUGAGAACCGAUGUGGCCUGUGAUGAAGCGUGAGUGACGGUAAUGGGUAAAGAAGCACCGGCUAACUACGUG